AGGUCGCUUUACCCACAGAGAUUUAACUUUUUUAUUUUAUCUUUAGAUUAAUGAACAACUGACUUUUGUAAAACUUUUUAAGUGUAAUUAAACAGCAGGUUUCUUUUUACCACUGAAAAAACAGACCUCACACUUUUUUUUAAUCUUUCAAUGGAUAAACAUUCAACCCUGAUGAUCAGAGGAGUCUUCAAACCAGAAAAACAUCACAGCUGAGGUUGGACAGGACGUCACUCUGACAUGUCGAGCUCCAAAUAAUAACCCCAUCACUGUUUUAAAAUGGAGCAGAGCUGACCUGGGAGAUGAAUAUGUGCUUUUGUACAAGGAUGAGCAGUUUGAUCCAGCCAACCAGCAUCCAUCUUUUAAGAACCGGGUGGAUCUGCAGGACAGGAAUAUGAAUAAUGGAGACGUGUCUUUGAUUCUAAGCAAUGUGACGAUUAAUGACACUGGAACAUAUGAGUGUGUUGUCAUUCCCAGAGGCAGUUCGAAGCUCAUCAGCAUCGUCACCCUGAUUGUUGUUCCUCCAGGUGAGUGAGUAGA